rnacentral:rRNA from 1 species
GAUCCUGGCAGAGGUUACUGCUAUCGGUGUUCGCCUAAGCCAUGCGAGUCAUAUGUAGCAAUACAUGGCGUACUGCUCAGUAACACGUGGAUAACCUGCCCUUGGGACCGGCAUAACCCCGGGAAACUGGGGAUAAUUCCGGAUAACGCAUAUUUGCUGGAAUGCUUUAUGCGUCAAAAGGAUUCGUCUGCCCAAGGAUGGGUCUGCGGCCUAUCAGGUAGUAGUGGGUGUAAUGUACCUACUAGCCAGCGACGGGUACGGGUUGUGAGAGCAAGAGCCCGGAGAUGGAUUCUGAGACAUGAAUCCAGGCCCUACGGGGCGCAGCAGGCGCGAAAACUUUACAAUGCGGGAAACCGUGAUAAGGGGACACCGAGUGCCAGCAUCAUAUGCUGGCUGUCCGGAUGUGUAAAAUACAUCCGUUAGCAAGGGCCGGGCAAGACCGGUGCCAGCCGCCGCGGUAACACCGGCGGCCCGAGUGGUGAUCGUGAUUAUUGGGUCUAAAGGGUCCGUAGCCGGUUUGGUCAGUCCUCCGGGAAAUCUGAUAGCUCAACUAUUAGGCUUUCGGGGGAUACUGCCAGACUUGGAACCGGGAGAGGUAAGAGGUACUACAGGGGUAGGAGUGAAAUCUUGUAAUCCCUGUGGGACCACCUGUGGCGAAGGCGUCUUACCAGAACGGGUUCGACGGUGAGGGACGAAAGCUGGGGGCACG